AAAAGUGCAAAUUCAGGUCCCAACUCUGUACUGUGUUGCAGUAUUUUAUGCUUCUGGUUUAUUAUUUGUCACUAAAUGCCUGUGAAUCAUAUUUACUAUUGCAUGCCACUGGGAAGGUUACACUGAAGCAGAAUAAUUUGAAUACUGAUUUUAGAAGUCUGACUCUUAAUAUCUCAGAUCACCUCUUUGAACAUUCUCCCAGUGGAUAGUUUUGCAUUACAUGUUGUUUUCUUAAAAUGUUUAGGAGGAGUUGUUAUAGAAAUAGUGCAACUUUUUCCCAUAUCUUCUUCACUUUAAGAGAAAUUUGUCUGCAAUAUUUUCAGAGUUAUAUUUAUGUUUAUUAAUGCUUAAGGAUUCAUAGGCCAGGGCACUGGCCUUCCAUCAAGUUUGUUGUUUUCAAGAUCUAACCCCUUGCUGGGGAUUGGCAACUCGGGAUUUCAGAUUUAAUUGUGUUUGUCAUGCUGUGCCCUGUGUUAACAGGCAGCUUUUGAUAUUGAUCAAGUCAGGGAUUGAAGUCGAUGAAGUUGUGAAGUUUGAGUCAAUUCUCUGCCAGCAUUCAGAAUUUCAGGAGGAAGCCCACGAGUGGCUGGUUAACAAAUGCUUGUGAGUUGUGUUUUUGCACCAAAUAUGUCUGGGAAACCCAGUGUUGGUGAAGCACAUUUCCCUAGGAACCGAAGAUGAAGGAAUGGAUGUGUAGCUGAGAAGUACAUUAAUGAAUUACUGACAAAUAUUUAUGCAUUGUUGGCUUCUGACCUGCAGCCUGACUUGGGCAUGUGUUGGGUUUCCAUUUGUAACAACACUGUAAUUAUCAGACAGAGAGCAGAGCAUGGUAAUAGUCCUCAUGGGUACUUCCAGUAAUAAAUAUAAUUGAGUUCACUGAAUAACAGUCCUAAAUGUGCAUUGAUUUCUGAAAAGAGAAAGAAAUAGCAAAAUGAUUUCCAAUUAAAUAUUUAUUUUAUUAGUGCAGGAGUUCAGGAGGAAUCUUAAAAUUUACCACUAUGCUUUGAAGCAAUCUACUGGGGGAAAUUGUAAUUUUAAAAAUUGCACCAUGAGUUAAAUUUAUACCAACUCAAAAUACCAAACUGUUUUAACGAGCUGUGUGCUGUAUAAAUGAAUAGAUUAAAGCUGUGUUUGUGUCAGAACCUGAAGGUGCUACCACUGUGGAGUUCUACUCCAGCAGCUUUCACACAUCACAUGGCAGCUGUGGAAGAUGCAUUGCUAUUAAAUCUGCAAGGCUAUCAAAGAAAGGGCCUCUGAGGUGUCUGAUCUGUUUAAUCUGAUAAUUAAAUGGUAAUUAUGCAGUUCAGCCAUUCUAGUGUAAGAGUUUGUUUAAGGCAAUGUUGGAAAUUAAGAUCUUAUGUAGAGUAGAGACUUUUUGGGGGGUAUACUGUACUUUUUUGAUUGCUAAAAUUGGGUGUAUCAAUAAAAAUGUUCAUGGAUCUAGAAUAAGAAUGACCACUGAAAGAAAUACCAACAAAAGGAUGAUAGAAAAUUUAAUUUAAUAAUUCCAUCCUUUAAAGCAUCCUGUUGCUUUAAAUUGGAAAUGAUUUUUUAACUAAAUCAAAAGCCUACUGUGGAGUUCCAUACCAAGAGAAACAUGUGACAAAUCUUUCCUGCAUAAAUAUUGGAACUAGGAGAUCUAGUGUGCAAGGACUGAAAGCUCGCCUCACUGAAAAAUAUUUCAUAACCUUGAUACUAAGUUUAUGCUGUGUAAAAAUUGAUAUAUUCAAGAAUACACCCUAUUUCCCCUCCUGCCAUACGAGAACGUUUCCCUCUAUAGAGAAUUCUGUCUUCCAGAUGCAGUAUUUUAAUUGAAUAAUUUUGUUAGCCCAAGUUUUCCGUAUUAUUUUCUAACACUGACAUUUUAUCAUCUAGAGAUAUAUGUAUGUAGUCACUGAAGACCAAUUCAGCAUUGGAAUGGUUGCACUGUGAGCUUCACUAUUGACUUCAUAGCAUGAGUUUUUCUGGUUCUGAUUUUGCAAGUUGAAAACAUUUGGAGGAACUCGAAAAUCUCACUUAUAUUUUUGGUAGCUAAUAUUUUACCUAAGGGGAACAGCUCUUUCCAACUUAUGCAGUGAUUAUUUCUAAUCCUGGAAUAGUGCCUUCUGAUGUCUUAGCAUUUGGAAGUACAAGUGAUACUUGAUAUAAAUUAUUCAGUGUUCUUGAAAUAUCAUUUAUAACAUAAUACAGUAUAGCCUUACUGGUGGCUGCAAGGCAUACUCGGCCUAUGGGCUUAUUUUGUGCAGACCUGGACUAAAAGGACUGAGGAGACCAAUGAAACAGCAAAUGAGAUGGGAAGAGGUGCUUCCUUGCAGCAGUUCUUUGUUUCAUGCUUAUUCUAUCCUUUGAACAUUCACCUUUCACUCUUCUUAAAACAGUGACCUCUUCCUGAGCUGGGUGGUUGAGUCUGAGCUGUGCACCUUACCUUGCAAAGGAGAAGGUUCAAAACUUCACUGGGAGAAACAAAUGUUCUUAGUGGAUUUGUUGAGUUGAUCACAUGCUUUAUUUAGAUUUGCAAUCAAAUGCAUUUCAGCUCUUCACAUGUACUUGCUUCUGAAGGUCUCACAGUGCAUGCACAGAAAGAGGUGUUUGGCCCAUUUUCUGUCUCCAAGGGGUUCUGCAGUAGUUUAAUUUCAAUGGUAUGCAAAAGCAACACUGGUUCUCUCACAUGUCUUCAGCAAAUCCCAGAAGUCAGUGACAUUAUCUAAAGCUCUUGCCUUUUACAGAAUAGUGUUCUGCUUUGAAGAAAGGAACCCCUGUAAGUUAUUGAUUACUGCUUGUGCCAUUUCUGAAGUGGUUAUGAAUUAAAACUUAAGCAAUGGACUUUGAUGUCUGAUAAAAUCAAUCUGGCAUGAGGAACCUGAGUUAACAUUCAGCAUUUGCUCUUCUAAUGCAUUUAUAGGCUUAAAAAUCUAAUGGCAUUGCAUAGGUAGCCCUUAGACUUUUGACUGGAAUACAAUUAUCCCAGCCCUUAGAUUGGGAUACAAUUUAGGGAUCACAACCAUCAGAGAUCUUUUGAUAGCUGGGCUUGAUGUAUUUUGCUGAUGGGAUAGUACUGACUAGUGCAUGUAUAUUGAAUUGUCCUGUUAUCAUUAGUGGAUUCUGCAGAGAAAGACAAAGUCCACAAAUACAAAUCAUAAAUAUGUCAAUAGAAUGUAAGUGAGGCUCAUUUAACCUUGUUUAAUAGAGAAGAAUCACUUAUAAAGUGCUAUGGGAUAUUUAAUUUAUGGUUUGGUACUUUGUUUUUCUUGGAAGAGGCUGCUCUUUGGAAGCAUAAACCCAUUUUCUGCCAUAAAAAUGUUUAAAGCUAAUAGUUGGACAUCAUCCUUUGCUAAUGCUCAAGUGACAGAGUAUAGCAGACAGGGCUUUGCUGGUGUCUUCUUGAACAGCAUGCAGCAUGAUUAACUGGACAUAGGACAACACACAAACAGAAACCUGGAGGAUUUUCUGUCCUUGCUUCCCUCACCAUCCCUAUCUCAAUUUUUUGUGGUAAUCACAAGUGCCCUGGCUUAGCCAAAGUUCAUUUGGUUACACACCCCAUCCACUAAUGUCUCCUGAAAGCAGACAACAGAGGUGUCUCUCCCUAGCAGAAGAGAAGAUAGCUUUUGUAGAUCCAUUGCCUUUCCUCCCUCCUGCUAAGUGUUUUCUUCUGGACCAGGGUGAGUCCCUGGGAACCAUGUAGGUGUUCUUCUCAUUUGCUCAGAUUCGUCAGGGAUAUGACACAAAAUGACAUUUUGCUGUCUGUGGCUUAGCAGAAGCUUCCUUUAGCUUUUUAUUUAGCUGUUUACCCUAAUAGUGUUUUAAGUGGUGUUUUUAAUUUGGCAUACCUGAACAAUCAAUAUCAUUAAAAUGCAUUUUAUGGAGAAGCUAUUGAGUGAUUUAUUCAGAAGAUGCAGAGCAUGGACAGGAGAUAAUUGUCCCUUGCCUGUAUAAAACACAUUCUAAGCACCAAGUCUAAUGACAAUAAAAAAAUCCCAGAAUUUGCAGUUGUAGCUAUUAAUCUUUCUUAAUGAAUAUAGGGGUUUUAUACCUUAGUUAUGCAAAAACUAUACUUUCAGAUGGGAGGAUUCUGAAUUAUUCAUGUUUCAGUCAUGCAUCAACACAUAUGUGUCCCUUGAGAUACCAGUGCUGUGUAUUCUGCUGUUUGUUGUUUUUGGGUUGGUUUUGUCAAUAUUUUGUGGGGAGACUGGCAAUUAGUAAACUAGUGUAACAGAAAACUGCUCUCAUAAUGCCAGACAUGGAAAAGAUAAGUAAUUUGACCCACUGGAGAGGAUUAUGUUUAAAAUGUAUUUGGAUUUUAUUUUUUUCCACUUAUUUUUUUAUCUCCCUGCUAAUUUCAUUCUUGUUAUCUUUUAAAUAAAAUCAGCAGUAAUAGAAUUACAGAUACAUUGAAAUCCAUCUCUGCAGACUGUGCAUGAUGGCUGUUGCUAUGCAAAAAUGAUGUGGUCUCAUACUGAGAAGAUUCCAAAGAUUCUUGGUGGUACAUUGUGCUUAAAAAGCACUUUUCCCAAUGAUGACUCCUUCAAAGGUUAGCUUUUAUUUAUUAGACUAUGGGCUCUCCCCCAAACAUUGCAAAGUACUCUAUAAAUAGGGCACAGAAAUACAAAUACCUUUAAAUAGUUUGCAUGCAUAAUGAUUCCUAGCAAUCCAACGAUAACCUGGAUUUCUGUGUGUAUUUGUAGAGCACAGCUGUUCUGACUGGAAAUGCUGUCUGCCCUGGAGCUCUCCCUCUAUUUUGUGGCCCACCAAGGAAUUGUUAUUGGGGGACAUACAACAUUAUUUAGGGUAAUUAGUUAGGCAGUAGUGACUUUUGGGUUUCUUCCAGCAGUGACACAUCAUCUGAAUGCUGGUUUCAGGGACAAACUGCGCUGGUAACAUGGAUUAAAUUAAACAGGGAUCAAAGUGGUUCACUGAUUUAUUGAUGGCAAGUAAUUAGCUGGCAAUCAGUAAGUUGUGCAUUAAGGAUCAACGCCAGCAGUGCAAUGGAUAAGCCACAACAUUAAGACACUUGAAAAAUAUCUAUUUGCUACAUCAAACUCCCUUGUACAACUAACCCUAACCUCCCCAAGGUUAUAUGUGCACCCCCAUCCCUUCAUUACAGAAAUAAAGUUUGGAGCCUUCCUUGGCCAUGUGCUGGAUGUGUUGCCCCCCCUCCAGUGGUGACAGAUGUGAGGGUUCUGUGUGUCCUCCAUGGCACAUCCUGGGCACUCCCUGAGGUCCCUGUGUGUUCUGGGUCCCUGGUGGUGUCCCACGGCUUGGAGUGCUGGCUGCACAUGGAGCCAGGUGAGGAGGCUGCCCAGCAGCUCCUGGGCAGGGCUGUAGUGCUGCUGGGGGGACUCCAGGACUUAGUGCCAGGCACCCUUGGAUUGCAGCUAUUCCCAUGCUGUUUCCUGCUGUUGUUACAAAUGCUUAUGUUUCUUUGUUUCAAAAGUUUCUUCCUUCUUCCCCUCGUUUCAUCCUCUUUAGCACAGUCAGUUUUGGGCACACAGUUUAUUUCUGUCUUCUCAUCAUUCCUGUAGGGAUUACUUGUAUCCUGACAUUUUGUUCUCAUAGACAGGGAAUGCUGGAUGUUCACCCCCUUUCAAGUAAGGGUUUCAAAGACAGAUGGAUGUUUCUUAUUCUCUCUGUUAUGAAUUCAUCAAGGCAGGGCAAAAUUUACAGAGCUGAUUGGGCCCUGCAGGGAUUGUUAUGUUUUGCAUUUUGUAUCAUUCUCUCUGAAGUCACAGAAUCAGGCAGUAGCAGAGGUGGAAAAGGUACCCCAGAGAUCAGACUGCCAAAUCCUGGCCUAAGUGCUAGAGACAUCUUUGCCUUCUUGUCCUGGAAUUCCUGCCUGCUCCAGCCUGUUCAAGCUUUUCUGAAGUUCAAGAUAAGUAUUUAAGUUAUGAUGAUAAUUGAUAUUAUAUCAGUUUCUUAUUUGCACUAAAGUCUCCAAGCAUUUCUUUUCCUUUCAAGAAAUAUCUUGAAGUUUAAUAGGUUUCAUGUGGAUAUCCAUAUGAUGAGGGACCUGCAAAAAUCUGAUUGUAGAAAGAGGAUUGUUCCUGGGAUUUGAUUCUUUGUAUUGAGGAGUAAGAACUACAGCCUUCAGCAUUUCUGGAAACCUUGGAAGGUGUAAGCCUUGGCUUAGCUAAAGAGCUGAGUAAUUCACUCAGAAAACAGUGAACAGUCUGCAGAGUGGUUUUUUUUUUUUUCCUCUGAGCUCUGCCAAUGUAUGUUAUGGAAAAAUGGCUAAAUGAGGAAACUCAUGAAAACAUUUCCUCAAUUCACACCUCCCACUCAACUGACAGUUCAAAAACUGAGUCAGAAGGGCUAAGAAUUGCUCAAAAGUACUGUUGGAAUUUGGCAAGCACUUUGGAGCUAGGAUUUUAUCUCUGAUUUGUAGUAAGAUAGCUACUGCUGUACCAGCUGCCAUAAGUUUUGACCAGUGAAAGUCCUUCACUGAAGAGUAAUGGUUCCAAUUCAAUUGUUUUUUUCUUGCCUCUUAUUCAGAUUUUUGAUAUUGGGAAUCCUUAGAGACUCUGUUUUGUCAGGAGAAUAGCAAACUGCUGUUGUGUUAAAUUCAGCUUCCUCUACUCGCUCCAUAUUUUAUUAGAUUGUGCUUGACUGCAUUGUCCAUGGCUGCAGUCAUCUAAAGAAUUGAAAUACUGCUGGAUUGCCCAUGUAAUGGUAAAACAAAGUGUUGGUACUGUGAGCACCAGGAGGCAAUUUUACUUCAGCAUUCAGGUGUUUGACGCCUAACACACCAUUCCCUAGGACAGCCACUGUGGGGUUAGGAGGAUCAAGUCCUGCUUCACCAGCCUGAUCUCCUUCUACAGCAACACAGCCUCUUAGUGCAUGAGGAAAAGGCUGGGGGGUCUGUACCUGGGCUUUAGUAAAGUGCCUUUAGUAAAGACACCAUCUCCCACAGCAUUCUCCUGGAGAAACUGGCUGCUCAUGGCUUGGGCUGGUGCAGUUUGCUGGGUGAAAGCCUGUCUGAUACCCAGUCCCAGGGAGUGGUGCUGACUGGAUUUACACCCAGCUGGGGCUGUCACCAGUGGUGCUUCCCAGGGCCCAGCACUGGCACAGCCCUGUUUAAUUAACAUCUCUACUGAUCAUCUGCACAAGGGCAUCAAGAGCACUCUCAGGAAGUUCAUGGACAGCAUCAAAGUGGGCAGGAGUGUGGAUCUGCUGGAGGGCAGGAAGGAUCUGCAGGGGAGUCUGGACAGGCUGGAUCAAAGGGCUGAGACCAACUUGUGAGGUUCAUAUGGUGAUCAUGAGAUUUAGGUAUAGUGGGGGGAAGAAAGAGCACCUUCUUCCUACUUUGGUUAUAAUUUUUUUGGCUUCUUUAUUAAUAAGGUUUGCUGGAUGAUAUUCUUAGAAUAUCAGACUGGGUGGAAGGGGAGAGCUUGAGAGAAAUGGUUGUUUCAGAAUAAGCAGCAUUAUACAUAUUACUUAUUUACAUUUCUUUAUUUGAAUUUUUAAAAUUUAGUUACCAUUUUACAAAAAUGGAACUGCCUCUGCAUGUGCUAGAGCUUGAAUUGUAACUGUUUUGUGGUUGAAAUCUGAAUUUAUUUUCAGCCCAGUUGUGUUAGCCAUCUCCAGGAUGAUUUUAGACUGCAAGUUGCUAAAUCUUAUAAAGGUCUAUAUGUGACUCUCCAAUAGGAGUAGAAAAAAAAAAAGUUUCUAGGGACUUGGUGUGUGCAGAAGCAUUUUCAGCAGCAAAAUCGAUACUACACUGUACAAGAGCAGGAUGAGUUUUGUACUUGUGUAGAAAUUUUACUCUGGUCUUUUGUGACUUUUUAUUUUCUUUAAAGUGUAAAAUAGAAUCUGCUCUGAGCAUACAUGGGUGUUCUUUUUGUUUGGUUAAACAGAACUGGUAUAAUAUAAGUGUGGAAUAUUAAUUCUAAUCUCACUAUAAACUUCUAAACUCUUACUCUGUAUUACACUUUUAUGUCAGGUUUUUGGGAAAGGAAUGACCACAAAAAUACAGUGGCUCUAAACACACUGGAAUAUCCAGUAUUUAUGUGGAAAUUUUAAUGAGGCUUUCAAAAAAACUCUACCUCUAAGGUCUGGCAGAAAGGGCUGUAUGCUUCAAAAGCACCAUCAUGUAGCAUCAUAAGACUGCCACAAACAGCAUUUCAUUAGUAAGGAAGUGGCAAAUUCAUCUUGCUUGAAUUUCGUGUCAGGAUGAAACAUUACAGGUAAAACUGACAGAUUAAUAAGUUCCUAGUAGGGAGCUUUAUGAGGGAAAAUUCCCAAGUAGGUGUUUCUGUUCAGAAAGAGACUGCAUGGAAAAUUGGCUUCAAUCAAGAAUUGGUUCUUGGUCAUCAAAAAUGCAAAAAUCCCUCCUGUGUCUGCCCUUAGUUCUGCUAGCAGAAUGAAAAUGAAGGAAAUUCCCACAGCUAAUAAAUGACACAUAGCUAUUAGACAUCACACUUAUUUUUAUGUCUGUUUACAAAUCUGUCAAGAAGUUGCUUAAACACACUUUUUAGUGAAAUAAUGUUAUUUUAAAGUCCUGUCUGGUUGAGUUUGAAGUCUGGUAGACCUUGGGUAUCUGUUACCCAGAGCAGUUAACACAGGUAGAUUGUUACACCUGGAAUGUCAUGGCUGAAGGAUUCCAGAGCAUCUCUGGGGCAUUCCCACAUUACUCUCCAUGUAACAUUACAGGUUUUUUAGAGAAAUCUCAGAAUAUCUUUUUUUUUUUCUUUCCUCUUCUAUGUAUUUUUCAUAUACUGAAAACCUACUGAGAAUAAUUAGCAAAUAAACCUCUGAAAAAUUAUCUAAUUAAUGGGAAAUUGGACUCAUGCAGCUUGGCUUUAGAGUUGAAGGGAACAUAUGUGUCUGUGUGCACAAUGGCCCUGUGUUCUUUCCUUAAAGGAUUUCAGGGAUGUAAAGUGAUAGGUUGGGAAGACUCUAAAUAUUUUCAGAAUUAACCUAUAAUCUACUAAAAUAAUGAGAGAGUGUUACAUAUAACAAUUUGGGUAAUCUUGGCCAGUUUAAAGGAGAUAUUUGACUUGGGGAAAAUUGCCAGUUUCUGUGUGGUAGUUUACAGAAUCAGGACUUCCACUUGAUAUUUAUGGUGAUGUUCCUCAGGAUCCUUUCUUUAAUGCUUAUUAUGAGUAAAUGACUUUUUUUUGACAUCGUAUAGAAGAACAGCAAAUUUUGCACCAUCUUAUGUGGCAAAAAUUGCUAUGCUCAUAAGCUUCAUAUUUUCUAUUAAAAUUAAUAGGAAAAAAAGAUAGUAUUAUGUUUCAAGAUUGUAUUAGUUUGCUUAAUAAAGAUCUUUGUUUCAGUGCUAAUAACUGAUGUGUUCAUAUAGAUUAAGAGUCCUGGGAGAGUAAAGAAAUCUGCAGCUCCAGCCCUGCACGUGUUUCCUUUUGUGACUCGCACGUUUGGGGUGGGUGCGGAUUUUCAAAUGCAAAUGAGAGAAUCCUCAUUAGAGGGAAGCCGGGCGUUGCAAUUCGGUUUUAGAACAACCCCUUGGCCUUUUCCCCUCAAUCCAAACCUCACCGUGGCACAGUCUGAUGCAGAGGCACAUCCUCUCUAUCCCAGAAGGAGCGAGUGUUGAUUGAACACAUUUGCUGAAUGUCCCUUGAGCACUGCAGCUCUGUUCAGAGCACUUGCCUUUGCUCUGGAGGGAGCUGAUUAACUAUUUAAAUGCUACAGCAGCCACCAAAAGUGGGCCUGAAAGAAAAAUGAGAAGAUGAAAUAUCUAUCUGCCUUUCUAUAAAUAAAAUGCAGGGAAUGAUUAAAGAUGAGUCUGACCUUAUUUAAUGCAUUCCCUUACAGGUCUUUACCACGCUGCUGUGUAUUUGCCAACAAAAAUAUCCUGCUCCCCAGGGUCAUCUGAUUCUGCAAUAUAUGUAUAUAAGUAAUAAAAAGUAUAAAUAUGUGUUAUCAGACCUCAGUAGAAGCUCCAUACUUUCUGCUUGGAAAGGAGGGGACAGGAUAGAAAGCUCACACAAGAGGCUGGUUUCUGUUGUGGGUGGUUUUUAUUUUUAUUUCUAUAAUACCUACUGCCUUGAAUGUCUUCUAGGCCUCUGCUGUGAAAAACGGAUUUUUUUUGAAGGGCUGGCUCUUCUUUUUUCUCUUUGUUUUCAUAUCUAUUCUUAAAUUAUUUUAAUCAAACAGAAAACUAGAACUAUUUAUUUUGCUUCUAGGUUUGUCUCAAAUACUUUUAUGAAUGUAGAAUUAAAAAUAAUGGAAUCACUGUUAACAGGUUUGCAAGUACAUGCUUUGAAACUCACCUAGAGACACAUGGGAGUGUUAUUAUCCUAAAAAAAAGCUGUUCAAUGUUUAUGAUUAAUACCCAAAAGGAAUUAAAAAAAAAGAUCCAAACCUGUUAAUUGGAAAUCUCCACAAAAUAUUCACUUUAGAAUAUUGAGACAUUUGAAAAAAAUUGACACACCUUAAGUUUUUUAGUUGUAAAUAAGUUAUUGUGAAAGUCUUGCUUUCUGAUAGACCUGAAUUUUUAAGGAGUGAAAAUUAGUUGAAACUGCUUGUCUGUGCUCAAGAUACAGAACUCCUUACUAUGCUGUUUCUCGUAAAAAUAUUAACAUUUUUUCUGGCUUGCACUGUUGAAAUUCUUCAAUGUUCAGUGAAUAACAGCAUGACUGAUCUGUGUAAUAUUUCUUCCUCUAAUAAAACUAAGAGGAAUCCUGCCUACAUUCCACAAACAAUAGCUGCAUGAGAUAUAUUCAAGAUUUAUGUUCAUUUAUACAAUAUUUAAAGUGAGAGCAAUUCCCAGCAUGGGGAGAUGUCAGUGUUGUCAUGGCAACAGAUGAAGAUGUGGCAGGAUGGAUGAAGCGGGUCUCAGCCUUGCCCAAGCUGGAGCCAAACCUCACCUGUGGUUUUGAGCCUCUCACCUCAGGAGCUGAACUGUGCUGCUCUCACUGUGAGAGGUGGGAAAAGGAGUAGCUGGCCUUGGGGGGUGAAUGUGAAGAGGUUUUUAUAAGCCUCAACACAAUGCCCCUUGUUCUGCCCCAUUUGAAGUGUUUUCUGCUGGUGACACAAGGCUGAGCAGGGAUCUGCUGGUGAUGGCUGCUGACAAGUGUGACUGUUCCUGUCUUUGAUGGCUUAGGCCAGCUCUACUUCUUCCAUUCUGCAUUUCCACAAAUGUCAUCAAUGCAAUUUCUGUCAGCUCAGUUUGGUUUACCUUCUCUCCUCCUUGCAUGUGUGAUGGUGCCUACACACACAUGGAAAACACAUGGAAGCAUUUGUUUAGCACCUUUCCUGAGCUACACUCUCCUUUUCUUAAGUUGGAAGAUGUAAACAAGUGGCUAGUUUGCAUUUGAUUUGAUUUGAAUUCUGUUUUGUCCUUCCUUACAGCUUCUCAAAUCCUCAGUUACACCUAGGGGCUGAGGGAGUGGUUUUGGCCAGGUUUUUUUUACUGUUUUUCAGUACUUGAGCAGCUUUAAGGAUGGUUCUUGUUCUGCAGUAGUUCCAAAAGAAACCAAAGGGAAAAUAAGAAUAGACAUUGGUGUAAUUUUCAUGUUCUGAUAACGGACUUACGUGUCACAAGAAACACAUUGCACUAAAAUCUAUUACAGAGAGGACCUGCAUCUUUAAAGUAACAUCAAGGUAUAUCAUUAAUUGACCAAACUCUAGGAAAUCAUCUCAUCUCUGCAGGAUUUGCUGUGCAGACACUCCUCUGUCUUUUUAAAGUUUAUAAUAAUCAGUACAAACCUGCGUAAUGACAUUAUACAGGGUUUCCUUUGAUGCUGUUUCUAGAUAUUUUUAUUCACACAAUAUUUCAGUCUGGUCGUAAAAUAAAAGGUGAGUUACAAAUUGUUCUUCAAGUUACAUUAGGGUUUCUUUAAGAAAGAAAGAAUGUUUUCAUUAUCCUUGCUGUGAUAAACUUUUACGUGGAUUAUUAAAUAGUUCUUUUGAAGUUUAAGGAUGAACCAGUACCUUACUGAUGUGCUUUGUUUUAACAGUUGUUUUGCCUGUGGAUCAGAACUUUCUCACAGAGUUAAUUUUAUAAGGAAUUGAAAAUGUUCUUGGUAUGGAACUGUACAAAUUUAAAGUGGUGCUGAGAGGAAACAGAUGCUGUACAUCCAUUUCAGGUCAGCUGCCAGAGAUUUAAAAAAAAAUUAACACCAGCAGAUUUUUUUACUUUUCUAACAGUUUGUCUGAACAUCACAGAGUGUUUAAGGCUCAGCCUCUGACUAUUAUCAGAUGCAAAUUUGCAAAUAAUCAAAGUGACUUUAAUUAACCUUUUCUUAAGAUGUAAGAAUCUGAAUUUGGUUAUUGCUGGAUGCCAAUUCAGACUUCUGUCUAAAUCUGUCAAACUAGUUGUAUCAAUAAAUGAUAAAGACUGUAUUUUAGACAGGUGUAAACUGAAUUAUAUAGGGAAACUAAUUGGGCACAAACAGACAAUCUGAACGCAUGUUAAAUGUCUAAUAUUACUGAGUAUUUACAAAAUUGUUUCCAUUUGUUUGUGCAUAUAUUCUAGCUGUCUCAAUGAACUUUUCUAAGAGUGCUCUCCAAGGUACCUGUCAUGAAAUUAAUCAUCUGGCCUGUGUUCAGUACUGCAGUUCCCAAAUGCCAACCCCUGUUUUUACAAUUUCUUUCACUGUAGAAUAUAAGAAUUCAUUGAUCACAUUUGCAUCAGUAUAAGCUGCAGACUUAAUCCUGAAUUUGUUAAAGAACAUCAAAGAUAUUGAUCAAAUAAUCACUGUUUGUUGUUGUUCCAUGACAUGAAAUAAUAGCAGAAACAAUUGAGAGAAUAAUUUGUAUUAAUAUACAGCAUGAACAAAGAUAAUUUGCAAUUUUAAUUAAAGUUCUUGCCAUUCUACUUACUUAAUAACUCUUGAUAAGCACUUUUUACUCCUUUAUUGUAUUUGCUUUUGAGUAAAUGCUUCAUUUGCAGCAAAAGCAAUAAUUGGUCAAAAGUCUUUGCCCAGUUCUUAAGGAAGUGGCUUAUUUUGGACCCUACUUCAUCAGUAUCACACCCCAACAAGUCAUUAUCUAUUGAGACUCUGAUAUUGAAAAUAUUUCCAAUUAAAUUAGUGUUAAUGCAAGUGUUCAGCAAAUGCAUCCGAGUCAGUGAUUAUCAGAUCUCUGCUCAGAUAACCAGUGAGGUCCCAGCUGGUGCUGUGUCACUGUGAGAUGAGAUCUGAGCCACCCCAGCACAGGGGAGCCAGCCUUGGACAGUGUGGGUGCCAGUCAGAGUCAUGGGGAGGAGAUAUUUGAGCUACUAAUGGGCAAGAUUAAUUUUAUACAUAAUUGUAAUUGUACAAGAACAGGAGAACACAGGUAUUUCCCUUCUAGGCUGGAAAUUAGAAGAAUACUAAAAGCCAUGCCAGUGAGUGAGUUUGCUCAUAGUUCCCACUGUAAAGUUUGUAACCUGUUGAUUUUGUUAAAUCAAAGCCCAGCUCUUACAGUAAAAUCAGGUAGGAAUCAGUGUUGGCUUUAAUACACAGCUGGCCAGGUAGGGAUCUGUCAUUUUGUUCCUGUUAUAACAAAAGCAAGUUCCAAAGAAGCCUUUUAUACAAAAGAGGGAUGCUUUUGCUGUGAUUUCCUGGGAAGAUCACACAUGUGAAGAAAAAAAAUGAAAAAAGUAAAUAAACGGAAUCUUUAGAGUAUGAUUUAGACUUUUGAUCCUUUCCUCCUCUGAAUUUUCUCUGUUGUGACUGGGAUCCAUCAGACCACGAUCAGGACUUUGAUUGCAUCAGUUUGAAAUGUUGAAAGUGAACUGUCAUUCCAAGAGCUCGUUUGUGUACCAGGGUUUUGGAUGGCAUAGCUGGGGGAGUUGUGCCCCAAGAUCCCUCCUGGACAGUUUGUACAGUCUUGUGGCUGAUAACUCAAAACACAGUUCAGUGCUAAAUGUCACAAAAAGUGAGCUUGUAGUGUACCUAGUGACUGAUCUUGAACCAUGGCCCUUAUUUUUUUGUCAUGUAUUUAUAAAAAAUGCACAGGAGGCCAGAAAUAAGUAAUUAUUUAUUUUGAAAUGACGAGCCUAUAUAUAUAUGCAUAUUAUAAAGAUUGCUUUCUGUGUCAUAAGAGCUUUCUGACACAUGAGAUACUGAAAAUCCAUUUAAAAAACAUUAGAACUACAUGUCUGCACUCUGAGGUGUUCAGAGUGAUCACCUCCAUUUCUGUACCAGGAUAAAUUCUUGCUGCAGAAGAACUUUCAGAAUUGUUCUUAAGCCCUUUCAAGACUUUAUGUGUGAACUGUGACUAAUCUCAUGGCUUCCAUCUGGAGCAGCUGUGUCAUUCCUACUUCCUACCCCAGAGGAGUCUCAACUCUAGCUCUGAAUUAAUUUUUUUCUCUCUGGAAAUUCUUUUCAAUUGCCUUUUCUUUAUUUUAUUUUUUGACAGAACGAAGUAGUGUAUGGCAGCAUAUUUUUUAAGAGAUAGUAUGCAGAAGGAAGUAAUCACAAUGCUUAAGAAGCUGUUAAAAAUUCUUAUUUGAAGAAAGCAUAUUAUCUUUCAGCAUUUCAAACCUUAUAUUUGCAAAAUAAUGUUUUCACUUGUAAGUAUUCUUUUAUCCAGCACUAUUGUUUGAUCAAGUUAUCUCAAUUUCCAUGGAAAUUUUUAGACUUUACUACACUCUAUUCAAAGUGGGAAAUUUUAAAUUUCAGCUGAGUGUUACAAACACAGACAACUGUAUGAAGAUAAGAUAAUCAAGUAGCAUAAAUAAACAAGCAUAUGUGCGGAACUUGGUGUAAAUUUACACAAUCUGAGACUCUGGACUCGUACUGCUAUGUGUGCAAUCAAGUUACCAUGAAAUACACAGCGAGGUGAAUUCAGAGUACUCUGGAACUCACUGUAAUUCUCUUUGCAUGCGUGACAAAAAGUAACUUGUUCUUUCUUCCAAAAGUAAGCUGCUAUUAACACAACAAUAUAAUCUACCUUUUUUGAAUGUUGCAAUAGUCUCUUCUCAGGGGUAGAGGGAAAAAAUUUGUUAGACUCUUCUAUAACAAGGCUAUAAAGAUAACUAAUUUGUGUGCUUGGUUGCAUUAACUUCAAAUAAUUUACAUUCAUUUUACACUGCUGAUUAUUAUAUUCUUGAUUUUUCUCUUAAAGUGGCUGAAUUAACUUGCUGCAGUGUCUUUUGUGCUGCUGCAAAGCCGACUUUGCAUUGCCUUAUGGCCCUGACCACCAGGCAGCUGGAAGGAUGAGUAAGAGCAACCCAGGGAAAACAAUACAAUAAUUUGUAAACUAAGAAGGAUGUCUCACCUGUGGGGGAGGCUGGGAGGUCAUCAAGAGCAGUGGCUGAGCUCACAUAGAGCUGUCAGUGAGUAUGAAAUACCUGUUUUGGCUGGGAAGGUUUGGCAGAAGGAACGUGUCUCCCCCAGCAGGCAGCAGGGAGGGAAAUCCCGGCCGGGAUCCAUCACUGGGGGCAUCAGGUUUGUGUCAUUUGGGGACCUGGACUGGGCUGCACAGGGUCAUCAGGCCAAGAAGGUUUAAAGCCUCACCUUGCAAGGAAGGAAAACAUCAAGCUGGCACAGUGGGAAUGGUGAGCAAGACAUCUUUGCUCAAUCUGCAGUGCUGCAGCAGUGUUACAAUCUCAGGUAUCACAAACCCCACCUCUUCUCCUGAAUUAAUCUCAGCUUCAAGGGUCAGGAUUGGUGACCACAAAUCCAGACCACUGGAUUUUUUUGUAAAUAUAAGUCCAGCGUUCUGGUGUUAGUAAUUCUAGGUUUCUUGCUUUUUUAAACCAGCAAGUAUUUUCAACAUGAUUUAGAAAUGAAAUUAAAAAACCCAACCCAAACCCAUCAUUACUGAUAUAUGAAGCCAGAGAGUGAGUAGAUACUGGUUGAUCGCUAAAGAGAGAGCAAAUGAAGAUCUCAGAAUGAUAAAAGUUUGUGUGUGUGUUCCUGUUUGUGUGUUUGGGGUUUUUUGCUUUCAAUAAUGAGAAAAAAUGUUUUAAAGAAUAUAGUGUUGCCAAAAUUUUUAAAAACUUUUGCUGUCUGAUGAUUGUAGAAAACAUUUUAACUCAUUUAAAGUUACAUCCAUUUUCAGAAGGCUAACUGUAGAAAUCUUGAAACUGGAUUUUCAGAGACUAUGAUUAUAAUUUCAGAAAAAUUAAGUCAGGAUGUUUUGGAUGAUUCCAUGUGUUGUUGGUGCUUAGUGUCUUCCACUGAAAAGUCAUUAGAACUCUAGGUGAACUGCAUAUCAACCCGCCCUGCUUUAAACAUUCCCUGUAUACUGAUCCAUAACAUUUUCAUCUUAGUUGUGAAGGCAGCAUAACAGGAAAGAAAAGCAGAAAGAUCAACAGCAGAAGUCCUUUGUAUGUUAAAAAAAUAUGUAUAUGCUGCUUGGCAUAAGAGGUUUUAUCCUGGGAAUAUGUUUGUAAGGCUUUCCAAGAGCUUGCUCCUUGGAGUUGUGCAUGCAACAGAAAAAAAAUAAUGCAUGCAGUUUGAGUUUUAUUGAUGUGAUUAUAUGUUGUAAAUAGUGGUGUACAACCUUGUAAUAUCCCUCUGUCUUAUCAUCACAUUUUUUAUGAUAUUAUCUGGACUGCCUUCUGUCCAAAUAAAUUAAGCUCAUCUCAUCAGAGAGGAUUGCAAGUCUUCUGUUACUUUGAUCAGAAUUAGCAGAAGAUGUGUCAAGCCAAUUACUCUAAAAUUGGGCAGAUGCAGAGCAGUGUGGUAUGUCAAUCACUUAGGGGGUUUUCUUUUAGUUUUACAACUCUGGCUCUGUCAGGGAAGCUCUUCCCAGUCUUUAAAUUGCUGGAUAUUAUUUCCUAUUGCUGCCUUUUGUCAAGACUGUGCAAUUGGAAGAAAACUGCAGCAGUUGUAAAAUGUUGUGAGGCGCUUUAUUUAGAAUUACCACAUUUAAAAGCUACUAACAGGGCUUGUUUAAACAAACACAGAACAAAGGAAAUUUGCUAGUAAGCCUCAUAUUUCAUUUUCAUUUUUGUUUAAUGAUUUGGAGCUCAUAGCUGAUGAGAUACAUUGGGUUUGCUCUUGGGCUGUAGACCAAGUCUGAGUGCAGAGCUAUUUUGUGUGUGCUGUGUGUCUGUGGCAUCCUUGCUGUCAGAGCAUCCCCAUGCUACAGCACUGAAGCAGGAUUGAUGACAGGGCUCUUUAUUGCAGCCCUUAGCACUAGAUUGUUGAGAUUAACACCUUGUCUGAGCAAGAGAUUUCUCUGAAGGGCCUGCAAUUCCUCCCCACAGUUACAUUCAACAGAGAACCAGCAGCCAGUUGCUUCUCUCCCCAGAAGUUUUGUUUAUAUUUCAGCUUAGAAAGAUAAAAGAUUGCACAGAUGAUUUAUUUUUUCUCUUUCUCUUUUUGACUUUUGAUCUGUUUAGCAGAAUUGUUUGUGUUCAGAACUUGACUGUUUAAUUAAAUUUGUGCAAGUACGGUGAAUUUUCAUUUCUUGGUGGUUUUUAUUAAUAGAGUAUUAGUAAUCCACUUAAAACUUGGAGAUUUCCUGGCAUUCCAGUAGCUGUAUAAGUAGUAGAGCCACGAUUUGCUAUAUUUUAAUUGAUGAGCUGAAAUGAGUCAAUUUUACUUGAAUUACUUGGACUAUUUCACUGCUUUGUGCAAAUAACACAAUUUUCCCUAUCUGAGUUAGUUUAAAUGUUAGUUUAAUGUUACUUUGAUUGUGACCCAUUAUAAAAUAUAAGGAAGGAAAUAAGUGAUAAAAUCUGCCAUUUGGUCUAACUGAAUGAAAAAAGCAACAUUUUCAGUCAUCUCCUUAUAACAAGUUACCUGACCAUAGAAAUUAGUUCUUAGUGUAACAAUCUAAGUGAUAAACUGCCACGGAUUCUCUGAUAAAGCAGUAAAUUUAAAUAAAUAUUGAUAGGACAGUACUGAGAUUAAAUUAUGAAUAAACUUGCUGAUUCAGAGUGACCACUGUUGCUUUGACAUUUUGUAGGUUUCUAGGCAAAAUGGACCAGUAAAAUUUAUGAUAAUUGUGGUAGUUUUCCAAUUUCCCCUCUGUUCCAAAGUAUCUGUUACUUUAUUCCAAUAUAAUCCUUCCAGGUGUGAAUUUUGGUGCUUUGUCAAUGUGCCUCAUAAAGAAAUUCUUGAACAUACUGACCAGUAAAGGGAGAGCAAGUGAUUUUGCAUUUUAAAACUGCAGAUUCUUAGACUGUGGGAACACCUCUGUGAGAAUUUAAGUAGUUUAUAAUGUUAAAUGGCAGAAAUUGAACUCUCACUUGUUAAAAUGGAAGAUUUAACAGAAGGGUUUAAUGGGGUGUGGAACACUGUGAAAAAGUAUGUGGAGGUCCUUAGCAUGAAAUGCUGUGUGCUUAAGUUCUGAGAGCAGGUUUUCAGGCUCAUACAUGUUAAAAUGGGCUGGAGAAAUCUGGUCAGAUGUCCUUUCUCACAGUCAAUUGAGGUAUCUAAAUUUUUUCACAUCAAAAAGCAACUUUAAAGUGGAAUCUGUUUAAACAUGUAUGUAUAACCAGGUUUUAAAGUUUCCCCAGUAAGUCACUUGGCUGUCUGUGAUGGUGGAUUCCUAAUCUCCCUUUUUAAAAGGAAAAAUCUCUAAGAUUGUGCUGUAUUCUGGCAGCCUGCUUAAUUGUACUUGGCAGCUUGUUUUGGCUCUGGAGCUGCUCACCAGUAUUCUAAUUAAAUAGGGGUGCCCUGAUAUGUGUCUUGUCUCUGAAAUCAAUAGGGAUGAUGAAAAGGGCUGUGAAGGCAACUAAUUAUCUCUCAACAACCAAUGCUUUUCAGUUUGGAUCUUCCCUGGUUUUCAUAUUUCUAAGUUUAUUAAAAUACUCAGAGAACAAACAUUUAGUAUGAGAUGAAACCUCAUGAGUGUGAAUUUCCUCUGGCCAUGUGCUCACACACCUUGUUCCAUUCUUGGCAGGUUCAGGAGAGCCAUAUAUAGAGAAAUAAAUAUAAAUCUAUUUAUACAUAAUAUAAAUCUCCGGCUUUGGUUUUGGUCAUGGUGUGCAUGGGCUGCAACCAGGAGCAGCCUUAGGUCUCUAAAUCCCAAAUGUAGAUGUGAAGAGAAUUUAUUCUAUUUCUGUUUAUCUUCCUCAAGAACAGCAUUGCAAGACAACCACCUGUGAGUUAAGGGAGGAAUCAGACAAGAGUAUCAAGGAAAAUGCCAAGCAAAUAUCUUCUUUUAGCUUCAUAAAAAAAUGGAACACAGAUAGGUGGUUAUACUAGAAAUAUUUUUAAAAAAAAGUUUCAGCCUGCCUCAAUGUUCUCAGAUGCCUGACUUUGAAUGUAAUUUUUAAUAGCUCUUUCUUAUAAUUUUUUUGGUGUAUUCAUUACUUGAUGUCCAGCUGACAGUUUUGUAUGGACUCCUUUUUCUCUGUUCCAAAUUCAGAACUUUUCAAAGGGAGCUAAAAUGAAGGAUGCUUAAAAUAGUCACCUUUGCAUUCAUGGCUCCACUGCAUUUGUGUUCUAGAGGUUUCAGCAGGACGAAACCAAGCUUAAAAACCUAUCAGUAGGGGUAAAGUAGUCAUAUCCAUUUCAGUAAUUAUAAUUACAGUGUACUAAUGCAAGUUAAGGGACAAUGCAGAAUCAUUUUCAAAAUGAAUAUUCUUUCCAGUACUUAAUACACUUCUGAAGACGUGCUGUAUUUCUCUAUAGAAGGAAAACUGCUUUGAUUUUCAGAAGUCUGUUCAAAUACUUUUAGUAUAAAAAUAGUCUCUCACAACUGUUGAGCUGUGGGAAUGCCAUAAAGCUCCUCCAGAUUGUUUCUAAUUGGGGUAAUUUUCCAUGGGUAAAGUUUGCAGUUCUCAAAGUGAAGGCUUUGACAAUGUGAAAUAUAAAAGGCAGGUCAUAGUAGGACACACUUUAUUGAAAUAGAGAAGAUACUGAUGGUGCCUGCUGUCACUCUUUGCAGAAUUACUCCAUUUUUUGUAGGGUAAAAUGAUUUUCCCUGUGUGUAACCCCCUGGACUAUGGAAGCAUUUGCACCCUGUUUUGGAGACAGAAUCCUGGGACAUGUGGAAGGGUUGGCAGUAGGGUGUGUAGGACGGUGUCCCACCUGGAUCUACCUGUCUUUUCACACAGUUACACUCUCUCUUCAGAGUCCACUCCUUCUGGAUUAUUAAAUUAUUCCAUGAUUAUUAUAAUUAUUAAUUUAAUUAUUAAAUUAAUACUCUGAAACUGGAACUCCAGCACUUGGACAUUUCUGAUAUAUUUUUUUCUAGUCUAAAUCUAGCAGACUUCAAAUUGAGCACCUUUGCAUAAUGAAGCCAGUAGGCUUCUUUACAAACAAAUAACCCUGUCAGGGGCAGGGGAUGCAGUACUCACUGAUUAUGCUCUUUCUUUGAAGUGUGCUGUGCUUCUAAAUAAAAGUUAUUAACAAUAUUUUUUUCUUACAGAGACCAAUAUACAGUCAGUAGCACAGCCAGUUAUAUUCUUACAUUUAUUGUUGGCUGUGCUGCAGUUACCCUGAUUCCUUGCAUAUAAAUUCUAUGUUAAUACAUCUGAGCUUUUGUACAAUAUCUGUCUUUAAUUAUCUUUUUGAAAGGAUCUCUUCAUCUUUCUAAUGUGACCACAGGACAGGAACUUACCAAAACCUGAGAAUAAUGGCAGUGUUUCAUCUCUUUGAUUAACAAUUCAAAACUUUCAGUGAUUGGUAAAAAUGUUUAAUCUGUGUCCUAGCUGUUACAGGUUUGAGGAUGCAUGAAUUGGUUGAAUCUCUAUGAAGAUUCCAGAAGCCCUUUAGGUCAGUUAAGGGUCUUCACCUCAGUGUCCUGGCUUAUUCUGUUAAUUUUGUUUUAAAUCAACUGGUCAGACCCCCAAAACCAGGUUAUUUUCUUUUGUGCUAAGUACAACCGCAAUGCUUCUCUUGCCUCCAGUCAGUGAAACAAAAAUAGGGAGAAGUUUUGUGUUUGGAGAGUCUCCCAGGUCAUUAAAUCUAGAUAACCCUUGUCUGGAAACAGCAAGUUACAAAUCUUGGCCAGAGGGCUUUAGGAACAGCUGUUGAGUGCUUCUGAUAUCACCCAACAUUUGUGGUAAUUUGUAGCUUUUUUAGCCAUGGUACCACUCCUUGUCCCAGUUCAGGGUCAAAGAGCUUCCUUUGGUUUUGGAAGCUCACUCCAGGCUUGAAAUUACAAAACUCAUAGAUUGUAGACAUAAGCUGCAAAAACCUCCCUGGUAAAUGUUCAGUUACAAGCAUUUGCAACAUUCUAGGCCAUUUCAGUUGUUAUAUUUGGAGAUGGGGCAUCAAUAAUACAUAGUUUCAUUAAAAGACAAUGUGCUUUAAUGUCAUUGCAGUAAGUUAUUUUGGGCAUUUCAAGUGACCCCAUUUGAAAUACAACAGAUGAAAGUAUGCACCUGUAUAUUCAGUUUCAGAGAGUUUGCACCAUGUAUCUAGCUGUUUUUUUAUAGACCUAAAAGUUUUAUUAUUUCUAUUCUGAAAUGCCAACAUAUGCAUUUAGUAUCCUGAUAAAGCUCAACUGGAGCUGUAACAUAUGGGCCCUCCUUUAGCUCCGACCCCCUGGAAAGCCAAAACGAAACAAAAAGACCAAGUCCUCCUUUGCUCUGAUUUAUUUGUGUUCUCCUUUUUUUUUUUUUUUUGAGAUAUCUUGUUUGAAAACAGAAGGUUGGCACCUGAGAGAGGAAGCACGGGCGUGUGUGAAGCAGUGGGAUGCCAGACAGGAGGGAUGCUGCUCUCUCCUGUGCUUUGCAGAGCACUUGCACAUGCUGGAAUAUUGCUCCUGAGCAGCCCUGGAAAUUGCUGCUAACUCUGCCUGAUGGGAAUUGCCUGAUUUCUGGCUUUACAAACAGCUUUCCCUAAAGAAAUGGUUCCUGGUGUUCAUCUCUAGCAAUGCUGGGAAAGAAUGCCAUAGAAAAAGGACAGCUCUGCUAUAGCUGGCUGACCAUUUAUUAGUGCUCUACUCACUGAAGGGUGGCAGGGAAAGCUUGCUGUAGUAGAAGAUAUUUCAGCAGCUGUUAAAAGAUAUCCCAGACAUUUUUUUCUUUUUCUGAAAUCAGGGACAGAUUUACCAUCAGUGCCUGUGUGUCUCUGUCAUUCAGGGGCUUUAUACCAGGCUUCUUUAUAUCACUGCUAUGCUCAGUUUGCUGUGUGUUGCAGCUGGGUCACUGUGUUCUCCACAGGGGUAAUGUUUUCAUCAUUUGGGAAGUUAUCCUUUGUUUUCUGUAGUAGGAUUAUUUCACAGUUCAGGAUUGGGCAGUCCUCUGGGUUUGCCCACUCUGGCCCUUUUGUGGGACAUGCCAGGGGAGGCCUGGCUGCUCCUUUGGUGGCAAAAGGAGAGGUAAAAAUAAACAGAAGUGAAUCUGCAGCCUAAGUGAGGUUUAGCUCUGGACUGUUUUGCCAUUCUUGGUUCUUUCUAUUGCUGAGCACCAUGGUAUAAUGGAUAAUCAGUUUCAAAUGGAAACAAAAAACAUGUAAGCAAAGGGAGUUAGAGGAGAACUGACAUUUCUUUUCAAGAACUACAAAAACAGGUGUUAAAAACUUGUAUAAUUGAAACAUUAAAAAUGAAACACUUAAUAUAGAAAAUACUGAAAUCAGCAAUAAUAAUAAUAGUAAUAAAUAAUGUUAAAAAAUCUGCUAACAUGUGAACAAACUGGAAAGAACUGUUUAAAUUAAACUCAAGGGAAAACCUUUGAACAAAGUCCUGAAACUUUCUUCUUCUAUUAUAAUAAUAAAUGAGGAAUACAUUCAACUUAUAUAUGCUAUUGUAUCUCGCUGCAGAAAAUGAAAUUCUGGAAGUUUGUAGCUGCUAAAGAUUUGACCAUGGCCAAACAAACAUGCAAAAUAAUUAACUGCAUAAUAGACAAGGAAAGACAAUUAUUCCUGGAAGGUUUUACUACUACCAAUAGCAAAAUUUCUUGCCUUACUGAAUCGGCAAAGAUUUUUUCAGGAUACCUUGAGGAUUUUUUUGUGCUUUCUUGGCCUGAGAGUGAUGCCCCAAGCAGUGGCAGAGCUGAAGAGUUGAUGUCUGGUCUAGAGCCUUGUUCACUCAGUCCCAGAGCUGAACUUCCCCAAGGACUGAAAUCUCCCAGGACUCUCCUGCAGUUCAUUCUGCACAGCAUUGCUGUGACACCUUUCAGGCAGGUGGAAAAAUGAACCCUCUUUGAGACUUCUCUAAAAUUGAUCAUGAAUUCUAAUGAGAUGAAGAUCCAGGUUUGAUGUGCAUGAAGUUAAGACUUCCCUUGGUAGAUACAUCACAGUAUAAUGGUACUGAGCAGAAAUGAGGGCCUUUAAAUGAUGCAAUAUAAACUGAGAAAAUGAGCCAAAGGUUUUGUAUAGAUAACGUUUUUACACUUUUGCCAAUUACUUUGGGAUAGAAAAAUGGAUCUAGAAGGAUGACACUGAUGGAUAGCUCUGGAUCUACCCAUGAAGAUAAGGUAUCUGGUAGACUUGUGUCUCAGAUACUGAAUGUGUGGCAGCCAUUUGUCGAUGCUGAUGCAGAAAUUUAAUGCAUGUGCAUAAAAAUCCUUAAAUUUUUCUCUACUAGAAUUUUGGAGAAGGGAGAAGGCACCUGAGGCACCUGUUGAUUUGAGUCAGUAGCAUUUUUAACAAGUAUUAACAUGAUCAGAUAUGUCUGCUCUUUGCCUUCAGUUGUUGUGAGGGAUUUUUAGAAAAUUACUGCUUACUUGUUUUUCUCUAUUUGGAAGGGAUUUAUUUUGAAAAAUUUGUUUAACAUUAGUUUAGAUGUUUUACCAACAUUAGGCAAUGACAACAGACUGUAUUUCAGUCUCACCUGUGAUUCAGCAGAACUUCCAGUCCUCUUGCUUGUGACUGUACAACCUGCAAGAUCUGCAUUGUAAUAUAUAGAGACAAAAACCCACCACUUUCAGCAGUGUUCAAGUUGCCUGACUGAUUUCUGCCAAGUGCAGGUCAUGUGCUUUUGAAGCCUUGGUAUUUUAUGUGCUGACAUCCAAGUGUGUCUUUCAGAAAGUCUAAUUUCAAAGGAAACAUGAUGGAGUUAUUGUCCCAUCUAGAGGAGCUGCCUAAAAAUAAUUUUUCACUUUCUGAGUGGGUAAAAGGAGAUUUUUAUUACAGAUGGAGGAGCAGUUUUUAUAUACCAUCUCUCAUUUGUAGUCAGACUCAUCCCAAAAGUUUUGUUUGAAAUACCUGUAGUCAGUGCUAAUUUUCUAUCCUAUUUCUUGUCUCCUAGCUUUGUACAAAAAGGCGCCAGGGAGCCCUCCCAACACAGGGGAGGAAAUGAGAGUCCCAGGGUAACUGCAGGGUCCUCACCCUGGAACAAAUUUGAGCUGGAUUAAACCUGCCAAGGUUGGUGGCAGACUAGAUGUCUGGAAAGUGAAAUUGAAACUAUUCUGUGGAGUUAAGGCCCUAGUUACAUGAUUUCUCUCUGAGGCACAUGAAAUGAAUAAAACCCUUAUUUUGUAGAAGGUGUAGGAAAUAGGCUAUUUUUUUUAUAAUUUGGAAUCACUUUGAAAGAGGUGAAGGAAUUCCAGCAAAACCUGACCUACAGGCCAGCAGGGUUCACAAAUUGAUAUUGCUGUGCAGGUGGAGACAGAGGUAGAUUUGUUGCUUACUGUGCUGGCUCUAUUUUUAGCUUCUGAUUGCUUGCAAGUUCUGUUUACAAAUGUCAGGAAAAUGCAUUAGGAUUAUCUGCUUUAUUGUAGAGGUAAUAAAACGUUGUCCAAUUUAGCCAAUAAAACAGCUAAAAGCAGGCUCCCACUGUCAUGGCAGUGCAGCUGCUAAAUGUGGCCUCACAGUGGUUUUAUGCUGCCUGCUCUGUUCUUUCCUCAUUUCUUGUUUCCCACCAUUGUUGUGGCUCAGUAUGGAGAUUAGGAAUCUCUGGGGGGUUUUAUUCCCAUCUGGGAGUAGCUGAAAAUGCACUUUGGGAAGAGGGAAGGAGAGGGAUCAGCAGAAGCUCUGUGGCCCAUCCCUGCAGUGCCCUCCUGGAGCCCAGCAGUGGCACUGGAGGUGUAAGGUCCUCAAGUAUUCCUCUGCCCAGGGCUCUCAAAUGCUUGGCUGCUAAGAAAUCCCUCCCCAAGAGUCCUUUCAACUCCAGUCUGGAGUGGGAACCAGUUGUUUUUAGUGGAUGUGGUUGGUCUGGUGCAGCCUGUAUUGGCUGAUGCCCUGUAAUCCAGUAUUAGAGCUGCUUUCACUGCCACAGAACCUGUAUUCAGGGACAAACAUCCUGUUUAAGCUGGGAUGACUUACUGGGGGGCUUUAUGACUGUACUUGCCACUAGAAGUAUAAAUGUGCUUAAUUCAGGGCUGAAGGUGCUUUAACAUUGUAAUUUGAUUCUGAAAGAAAAGGAUAUGUGUUGUUUAUUCCAUUAGAAAACCAGUAUGUCAAUAAAUAAUAUAGAAAUAUGUCUUUCCAGUGCUUAAAAGGUCUUUAUUACCUUUAUUAUGGCCUUCUACCACUAAAAGUUAGUGUUGUAGGAUGCCAGUACUAGUCAUAUUCACUAAUUAGCAAUAAGGUUUGAGCAGAGUUGUGACACUGUUAGUUAAUACUUGUUUUUCAUUGCUCAUUGCUGAUUUAGGUGGCUCAAGACAAACAGAUUGUGUGUUACUGCUGUGAUAGAAUACAUAAAAUAAAAAUAGUUCUCAUGCAGAAUUCCCUGUGCUUUAAAUAUACCAAAUAUAUUCCUUCAAGCAUCCUUAAGGUGUGGAACUGCUAUCUGUAUGCAGUUCAUCACCAGAGAAAUUACAUAUUCAUUUUUAAAGGAACCAUACAAUUAGUUUCAAGUCUGGAUGUGAGUUAGGAAAAAAACCUGGCAAUUUAGUAAAAACUGAGGAGUUAAUUCCACUAGAGGGGUAAGCUAGAAAUAGGAGUAAAUGUGUUGCUUUGAACUGCAUCAUAUGGAAGCAGCAAUGACAGGAACAUUGCAAGUUUCUAUGUACCUGUGAAUCCCCAUCAUUUUUUUUGCAACUUCUGCUGAUUUUGAAACUAUAUGCCUCUGAGGAGGCAGACAAUGAAAAUUUGAUAGGCAAUAUAUUAUUAUGCAGUGAAGUGUUGAAAUUUGCAGAUCACUGGCAAGUCUGACCAAGAAAUAUAGCUUCUUUUUUUUUUUUUUUCCCUAGGGAAUGAAGUGUGGGAAAUUAUGGUUUAAAAUGAGAGGGAAAUAUAAAUCUACACUGUUUCAGUACUCUUCAUCUUUGAGAAAAUUGGAGUCUGGAGAGGAACCUUGAUGACUUGUCUUUGUGUUUUGGCCAAAUGUAAUGAUAAAGUCCAAAUAUUUGUGACAUCUGGCUUGCUCGUGACCACACCUAGGUCUUAGAUUCAUAACAAAAGGGUUUUUUUCCCAAGAAUUUAAUUUCUGUUUAUCCAGAUAAGUGCCACAGAACUGCAGCUUGCUGUUAACUGAAAAGAACAGUCAAAUCAUAGCAUCUCUCUUCUGCCAAGCUGCUCUAAUGAACACUGAGAAUUAGAUACUAUGUUUGUCAGUGUAACAUUGACAAAGUCAUUUAUGAGUCUGGUUUUUUGAUUUAUUUGGUUUUUUUCCCUAUAAAAAUGUGUUCUUCUUAAGUUAGCUGAUACCUGUUCAUAUAAAAGUAGUCAAAUCAGUCCUUGUAGACUUUAUUUCAAGCUCUCUUAAUACUGCAGCUGCAGUUCUGUGGGUUUAUUCAGGGAGCAGAGGUUCAGGUGGCCUUUCAAAAAACACAAAAAAAGCAAGAAGGAUGGAAUGCUCAGUGCCUGAGAGCUUGCCUGGGCUUGCUGUGACCCUGAGAGCUGCAUUUGGUGAAGUCCUUUCUCCAGGAGACUCCUCUUCCUGCCUUCUGCCUGCUUGAGGUAUUAGUUCUGGCUUAGGCCUUCCUAGAAUUGGAAACUGAGGUGAUGAAAUUAAGAUGUGAGGAGUGAAAUUUUUUAAAUUGUAGGCUUUUUUUUCCCCUAGGUGUUAGCAUAUUUUCAGUCCUGGUUAUUUUUUAGAAGGUACUAUAUGGUCAAAACGUGGGCUGCUCAAAACUUUUCCUGCUGAUAUUUUUUUGUUGGAAGCCACCAAAAUGAUGGGAUCAGAAGCAUUUCUUGGGGCUGUGUGAGUUACCCUGGGGCUUUUUGCCUAAAAGUUGGCACUCAAGAAGUCUCAGUGGGCCUGUGUGGUUUUUUGUCAUCCACUUCAGGUGGCCUGAAACUCCUGGCUGGAGCAAGGAGCACCUUGAGAUGUGUGAAAUUUUCUGAGAAUUUGAUAUUGUAGUUUCAAAAUGUUUUUGUUCAUAUCUAAAACACAGCUUGUUUUAUGAGCAGACUUUCUGGAUGCAGCUCAAUCUUCCCAGUUUCAGUUUUGGAAGAAAUCAGCAUUCUGACCAUUUCCUGUGGCACAAGGUCUUUUGUAGACAUUUUAAGUGUUCUAGUGGGAAUUGGGUGAAAGUAAAUCCAUGUGUUAAAACUGGUUUUGUAGCUCUUGAACAACAGAAAAA